rnacentral:rRNA from 1 species
CAAGGAAUUAAGAGUUUAUGGGGAAUACCUUGGCAUUCAGAAGCGACGAAGGACGUGGUUACCGACGAAACACUCCCGGGGAGCUGGAAACAAGCUAUGAUCCGGAGGAUUCCGAAUAAGGAAACUUUUUAUACUACUUAUUGAAUUCAUAGAUAAGCAAGAGCAAACCUAGGGAACUGAAACAUCUUAGUACCUAGAGGAAAAGAAAGUAAAAAACGAUUCCCUUAGUAGCGGCGAGCGAAACGGGAGAAGCCUAAACUUAAUUACUUAUUUAUUUAAAUAGAUUGAGGGUAGUGGGACGAUUGUUAAUAGAUUAGCACAGUUAAACGAAUAAGUUGGAAUACUUAACCAAAGAAAGUGAUAGUCUUGUAGUUGAAAACUAAAAUAAUCUCAAAUCAGAUCCCAAGUAGCAUGGAACACGUGAAAUUCCGUGUGAAUCUGCGAGGACCACCUCGUAAGGCUAAAUAUUACUGGAUGACCGAUAGUGAAACAGUACCGUGAGGGAAAGGUGAAAAGAACCCCGGGAGGGGAGUGAAAAGAACAUGAAACCAUAAACUUACAACCAGUAGGAGGACGACUAAAACGUCUGACUGCGUGCCUGUUGAAGAAUGAGCCGGCGACUUAUAGGUAGUGGCAGGGUAAGGCAGAGAAUGCUGGAGCCAUAGUGAAAGCGAGCCUGAAUAGGGCAUAUGUCACUGGUUAUAGACCCGAACCCGGAUGAUCUAACCAUGGUCAGGUUGAAGCUUAGGUAAUACUAAGUGGAGGACCCAACCGACUGAUGUUGAAAAAUCAGCGGAUGAAUUGUGGUUAGGGGUGAAAUGCCAAUCGAAUUCGGAGCUAGCUGGUUCUCCUCGAAAUGCGUUUUGGCGCAGCGAUAAAUCUUAUAACUUAGGGGUAAAGCACUGUUACGUAUGCGGGCUGGUAAUUCGGUACCAAAUCGUUGCAAACUAAGAAUACUAAGUGUACAGUUUAUCAGUGAGACUGUGGGGGAUAAGCUCCAUUGUCAAGAGGGAAACAGCCCAGAGCACCAGUUAAGGCCCCUAAAUAAUUACUAAGUGAUAAAGGAAGUGGGAUUGCGAAAACAAUCAGGAGGUUUGCCUAGAAGCAGCAAUCCUUUAAAGAGUGCGUAAUAGCUCACUGAUCGAGUAAACCUGCGCCGAAAAUGUACGGGACUAAGUAAUUUGCCGAAACUGUGCGAUAUAUUACAAAUAUAUCGGUAGAGGAGCGUUCUGUUGUAGAUUGAAGUAUUAGCGUAAGCGGAUAUGGACGAAGCAGAAGUGAGAAUGUCGGCUUGAGUAACGAAAAUAUAGGUGAGAAUCCUAUACCCCGAAAACCCAAGGUUUCCUCCGGAAGGCUCGUCCGCGGAGGGUAAGUCAGGACCUAAGGCAAGGCUGAAAAGCGUAGUCGAUGGACAACGGGUUAAUAUUCCCGUACCAUUAUUUAUUGAUAACGAGGGACGAAGAAGGCUAAGCUGGCCGGAUGUUGGUUACCGGUUUAAGCGUUCGAGAUGAUGAGAAACGGAGAAAACGUUUUGAGUUGAGGCGUGAUGACGAGAUGCUACGGCAUUGAAGCAGUGUAUGUCAGACUUCCAAGAAAAGCUCGGACUGUCAUAAAUAAAUAAUGCCUGUACCAUAACCGACACAGGUGGGUAGGUAGAGUAUACUAAGGGGCGCGAGAUAACUCUCUCUAAGGAACUCGGCAAAAUGACUCCGUAACUUUGGUAUAAGGAGUGACUUUUUAGGUAACUUUAGAAAGUUGUCACACAAUCGAGGACAGCGACUAGUUAUUAAAACUACAGGUUUCUGCUAAUUCGUAAGAAGAUGUAUUGAAACUGACGCCUGCCCAGUGCUGCAAGAUUAAAGAAAAAAGUCAUUUGGCUUUGACCCUAACUCCCAGUAAACGGCGGCUGUAACUCUGACGGUCCUAAGGUAGCGAAAUUCCUUGGCAUUUGAUUGGUGUCCUGCAUGAACGGCGUAACGACUGUCCUACUGUCUCCAACAUAAACUCAGUGAAAUUGAAUUUUUCGUGAAGAUGCGAAAUUCUUGCAGCUAGACGGAAAGACCCCGUGCACCUUUACUACAGCUUCGCACUGGCAUCAGAAUUGGGAUUUGCAGGAUAGGUGGUAGACUUUGAAGCAGUAACGCUAGUUGCUGUGGAGUCGCCCUUGAGAUACCACUGUUCGCAAUUUUGAUGUCUAACCGCGGUCCGUUAUCCGGAUCCGGGACCCUGCGUGGCGGGUAGUUUGACUGGGGCGGUCGCCUCCUAAAGAGUAACGGAGGCGUACAAAGGUAAAUUUGAGUUGAAUUUCAACAACUUUAAAGCGUAAUAGUAUAUGUUUGCCUGACUGUAAGAUUGACAAAUCAAGCAGGGGCGAAAGCCGGUUAUAGUGAUCCGGUGAUUCUGAGUGGAAAAGGUCAUCGCUCAACGAAUAAAAGGUACGCCGGGGAUAACAGGCUAAUCACUUUUUAGAGACCUUAUCAACGAAGUGGUUUGGCACCUCGAUGUUGGAUUAUCGCAUCCUGGAGCUGAAGACGGUUCCAAGGGUUUGACUGUUCGUCAAUGAAGGCGGUACAUGAUCUGAGUUUAGAACGUCGUGAGACAGUUUGGUCCCUAUCUACUGCAAGUGUAAAAAAUUGAGAGGGGUAAACCUUAGUACGAGAGGACCGGGAAAAGUAAAUCCAUGGUGAAUCGAUUGUUAUACCGAUAGCAUAGUCGAGUAGCUACAUUUGUAAUAAAUAACCACUGAAAGCAUCUAAGUGGGAAAUUAGCCUCAAUACAAAUUUUUUUUUAAACUGUAAUAGAUUAUUACAUAGAUAGGCUUGGUGUGUAAGAAUUGUAAGGUUUUUAGCAAACAAGUACUAAAU